rnacentral:piRNA from 1 species
AGGCCUCUGGAACUGGGAGACAUGAAUGU